rnacentral:rRNA from 1 species
UGCAAGUCGAGCGAAUGGAUUAAGAGCUUGCUCUUAUGAAGUUAGCGGCGGACGGGUGAGUAACACGUGGGUAACCUGCCCAUAAGACUGGGAUAACUCCGGGAAACCGGGGCUAAUACCGGAUAACAUUUUGAACCGCAUGGUUCGAAAUUGAAAGGCGGCUUCGGCUGUCACUUAUGGAUGGACCCGCGUCGCAUUAGCUAGUUGGUGAGGUAACGGCUCACCAAGGCAACGAUGCGUAGCCGACCUGAGAGGGUGAUCGGCCACACUGGGACUGAGACACGGCCCAGACUCCUACGGGAGGCAGCAGUAGGGAAUCUUCCGCAAUGGACGAAAGUCUGACGGAGCAACGCCGCGUGAGUGAUGAAGGCUUUCGGGUCGUAAAACUCUGUUGUUAGGGAAGAACAAGUGCUAGUUGAAUAAGCUGGCACCUUGACGGUACCUAACCAGAAAGCCACGGCUAACUACGUGCCAGCAGCCGCGGUAAUACGUAGGUGGCAAGCGUUAUCCGGAAUUAUUGGGCGUAAAGCGCGCGCAGGUGGUUUCUUAAGUCUGAUGUGAAAGCCCACGGCUCAACCGUGGAGGGUCAUUGGAAACUGGGAGACUUGAGUGCAGAAGAGGAGAGUGGAAUUCCAUGUGUAGCGGUGAAAUGCGUAGAGAUAUGGAGGAACACCAGUGGCGAAAGCGACUUUCUGGUCUGUAACUGACACUGAGGCGCGAAAGCGUGGGGAGCAAA